AUGCGUCACUGAAGGAAUGACAUCAUAAGUUUGGAGCGUCUCAUUGCAGCACAUGGAGGGGUUUGCAAAUGUAAUAUGUGAACUUUUUUAACGCAUAACCUAAUUUGUGGUAUACUGUAUCAGGUGGUGUGAUUCUGUCUUGUCUGUUCAUGAUUAUGAUGGGCCGGUGAGGUUGUAAUUUCUAUUUAAAGAGACUGAAAUAAUGUCAAAUAUGCAAGAAUCCACUGUAAUGUUGAAAGCUUCUCCUCAUACCUUAUCUUACAGGUUUGUUACAUCAGACCAAGAACAGACAAAAGCACUGUAAAACAAUAGAUUUAAAGACAAAGGCCUGUAAUGUUAGCAGUGCAGUGUGCAACCGAGGUGUUGAAUGGCUUUAUCACACAAUAUUUCACUUUGGGGUUUCUGUGAUGUUUUGGUCAGCCUUCUUAUGGGUGUCCUUAAGAGCUGCAAUUGUUUCUUAUAGUACUGUAAUUGCUAAGAAUGGCAGGACCAGAUUUACGCUAUGUUGCCCACAAUGAUACUGACAAAUAUGCAAUUUAAUAGCAAAAAUUGUUUAUUGUGCCACAGUCUUGGAAAGCUUUUGAUAACAACUAACUCAUGAAGUGGCAAAGACAUUUUUAUUUGGAAAAGAUAAAGCCUCAUGUAAGGCAUAAUAAGUGAAUGAAAGAAAGAAAAGAAGAGAUUUUUAUUGCCAUGCAGGUGCAGGUUUCCCUCCUUCCAUUGCUGUUUUCACACUUGUGCAUGCUGUAUAGCCUAAUUUUAUGAUGAGGUGGGUCAGCCUUCCUUGCUCUCGCACUCACUUGUAACCUAAAAAGCCAAACACAGCUGACUUUUUAGCAGUAUAAAAGCACUUCUGUCCUCAUGAACCAACGUGCAAUGAACCAUGCUGAUGCUCACCAGAGUUUUACUUAUUACAGUACACUUCAUUUUGCCCAUAUGGGGAAAUGUUUUGCGACUUCAGAAGAGAGACUGGAUGGGGGGUCCAUCUGCUAGCAUGACAGAGGGUGAUGUGGAAUGUUUCUCUGAGUACAUGGAACUUUGGAUCCAUAGAAUGAGAAUUGAGGGAUUGAGGCUUUGGCUUUCUGGAAUAUUAAGGAUUCAAGUGGGUCUGGUGUCCAUGGAGAAUCUAAACCAUCAGCUGUCUUCAUGUGGGUUUGCCCUGCGCAGAGAUCUAGACAAGAACUAUAUCUUCAGAGUCAUGUACAGUGGAUGUUUUGUCCAGUUAGAGCAUGGCAGUUAUGUCAUUGUGCUGAACCUGCUGAAGAGAGUAAGUCGUUUUGGAGGAAGGACUCAAAAGUUUAUGAUGAAGUGUCCAGCGGUGUUAGCGCCUCCUAACAGAGAGUACAUCCAGUGUGAUUCAGACAUCAUUCAGGUUACCAGAGAGAUCCCUGUGGAUAACUGGAAUAAUGAGCUCGACUGGUCUCUGGCCUUGAGAGGGAGUCUGGUGGUGGCUUUGGAGGAUUCCAGUCUUAUUCAAGUAAAUGUUGAAAUGCACAAACCAAACAUAACAGUUCAAGGGAGGAGGGGCACCAUCUUAAGUCCUGUGCAGGUUUUCAAAUCUGAAGGACAUUUCUUACCUCUCAAACUGGUCAGUGGCCAUUAUGCCUACAGCAUGGAGGCGACCUGCCCAAAUGUGAACCAGUUGCCAUCUAAAGACACAGUGCUACAUGUCUAUAAACGGCGCAUGGGCUUGACCAAGAGAGGUGGAUAUCAAAAUGAGACCCUGUCAGUUAGCAGUGUGAUUGUGGAACAGACUGACACAUUUACCUGGUCAGAGACAAGCGACUUUGUGCAGCUUAUCAUUCCCACGCCCCACAUUCAACAGAAAAAGGAGUGCAUUGGUCAGGAAGGUCAGAAACUUCAGCAAAAUUUCUACAAGAUAGACGCUGUUCUCACCUUUAAAGAGACAAAUCACAAAAUGCUCUGGACCAUGGAAAACACCUCACCAUGUUCAGAGAUGUUAAAAUCACAUUUGAUGCAUGAUGACCCAAAAGAAGCUAAUUUCACAACACAUUCUGCUGAGGGGAUUACAGACGAGCCAGCUGAUUUCAACAAAGAGUUUACUCCUUCCAUGCCAUUAAAGACUCUAUCUACAGUAUCACAGACAGCAGAUGAAGAAACCAGCAUGAACUCCGUACCAACCCAACAAAUCCAAACAACCGAGGCUCUUAGUACAUCAUCUCGUCUUUCACCAUAAAUGGAGAUGGUGGAAAAAAGUGAUUGCAGUUACACUUUGCAGCCUAAAACAGGACAGAGACUUCUCCAUUGUCAACUGUGAGGGGCCGUAAUGCACAACGGAUGGAAAUGCAGUUACACUUUGCUGCUGGCUAGCAAGCUCUCAGUGGCAGUGUGAUGAACAGCCAGAAGAGCUCCAGUGUACUUGCGUUUGGCCCGGUUGCGGUGGUUCUCGCUGAAGCAGGUGUUACAGCUCGGUGCAGUUCUCCCCCGUGGCCCUGUGAUGGAGAACAUCUGGAGAGCCUCUGUUCCGCCCCUUCUUUCCUGUUCCCGUAAGCCAAUCAGUUGAGGGGAAGCAUCUCGUGUUUAAAAUGCCUGUGAUAUCCAAGAGAAGGUUAUGAAUGAAAUGCAAAGCCUCAGCAGCAGUGCCCUCAGCCCGUAAUUGUUUGUGCCACUGUUAUUUUCUGGCUCGGAGAUGGAAAAUGUUGAGAAAGCAGAGCGCUGAACCUCUGGGAGCGCCUCGGCUUUGCGCUGGUUGGCGAUACGGCGUCGGUCCAGUCCUGUCGGAGCUUCUUUCCUGUUUCAGCGCUCCCUGUAGUCUCAACCCCUCCCUGGUCCUGGUUGGGGUUUGUAUGGCAACCUGCUCUCAUCGCCCCCUGGGGCAGCCUGGGAGGCAGAGAGCCAUCGCCAUGGUGAUCAGAGCACAGAACCUCCGCAAAGCAGUCCAUUGUGACUGGUGCGCGUUGAGGUGAGAGGAACAAAAUGUCACAGCAACAGGUUUUUUUCUUUUUGUUGUUUUUGCCUUUAAUGCCCAUAGGGGUUUGUUUAGCCUUUGAUUCAUCUGUGCUGCCGUCUGCUAAACGAGUUGUUUGUGAUAUCUGUUAAUUGCCUCUUUUAAGUCAUCCGUUUUGGAGCACGGUAGAAGGCAGCGGGAGAAAGUGAAAACAAAUGAAAACUGAGUUCAACAAUCUAGAGGGAUGGCAGAAGUGUAUUAUCAUGAGAUGGUUAUCACUCUGUUAGAAUGAUUUUUUUUUUUACUAAACUUUUUUAUUGUAUAUUAAUUUUUUUUUUGUCUCAGUCAAUAAAAAUAUCCUCAAGUAUUCAGGGGUAUUAGUCUAGUAUGAAUCUUAGAUCAUAAGUGAAUUCCCUGCGCUUAGAGUGAGAUUCUAGUAAAUCUACAGAUUGAUUAAUUUUACUUGAACUCCCCACUUUAAUCUUCUUCUGAAUGGGUGUUGAAAAAAGUCUUUUUUUCUUUUCUUUUUGCACUGAGCAUAUGAGAUCGGUUGUUCUCCACUAGGGGCAGCAAGAACAAAUUAAAUCCUGCUUUAGGCUGAUGCUGAGAGCCCCUCGCAGAACAGUAAAGUCUUUCAAUUACUGAAGAGAAAAAAGCUCAAACUUAUUUUGUAAAACCUAAAGUACCACUGAGAUUUACCUCAAGCUGAACCGAUCCAAGACUUAUGCAAAAUACAAUGUAAAUCUCUUCUUAUUUAAAGGGAUAGUCUGCCAAAAAUGAAACCUCUGUCAUCAUUUACUCAUUAUUUACAAGUGAUUAAGUUUGGAACGACAUGAGGGUGAGUAAUUGAUGACAGAAGUUUCAUUUUUGGGUGAACUAACCCUUUGAUACCGAUUUUUGCAGUGGUAUGAAAAACUGGAGGUCAUGGCUCACUUUGUGACCCAUGGAAAUAGAAAACAUGCAGAAUAACCUAACAUAUUUCUGUGUAGUAUUUUUUUAAAAAGUAUUUAAAAAAUCUUAAUGUUUUCCAUUAAAAAACGUGGGUGAGGGUGAGUAAAUAAUGACAGGUAUUAAUAGUGGUUGUAAUAAUAUAAUAUAAUAUAAUAUAAUAUAAUAUAAUAUAAUAAUUUUUGUACAAAUAAAGUAUUUCAAAAUAAAUUAAUAAUCUAUCUAUCUAUCCAUCUAUCCAUCUAUAAUUACUCAAGAGAAAAAUGCUCACUUAUUUUGUAAAACCUAAAGUACCAUUGAGAUUUACCUCAAGAUGAACUGAUAUUGAUACUAAGAUGAUACUAAGACUAAUGCAAAGUACAAUGUAAAUCUAUAUUUGUA